CGCAGGUUGUGCUCCCGGCUCUGCUCCACCUCCAGCCAGCGCCGCGCCUCCAGCUGCACCUGCGGGCGGGGGCGGCGUCAGAGCGGGUGACAGUGCGGGGGUUAGGAGCCCAGCCAGCGGGCGUCCAAAGCCAGUCCCAGGACCGGACACGGGCCCAGGAGACACCGGGCUGCUGGGCUGUGCAGCUGGAGAAGUUCACCAGAAUGAUUUAGUGCCAUUGAAUCUGGCUGCAUGCAUGAGGGGGCUCCAGGAUCUUUGUUAGCUGGAGUUGGGCCGUUGGAGGCACCCAAAGACCAACUGGACUGCAUCUGGGAUCUGCCAGGCCAAGGUCAGCAGCUGGGAAGUAAUGAGGUCUUCUGGGUGUGUGCUGCCUUGGGGACCUGCUGGGUGGCCAGCUAGCCCUCCCUGAACAGCCCAGCAGCAGCUGUACUGUGGCUCCUCUGAAUUGCAGCAGUCACUCAGAGGACCAGUGAAUUAGUCCUUCCUUCUGUCAACCCCAUCAUCCACUCCACCCCAGUCCUACUCAGGCACUUUUUCUGGAGCCCUGAACCAGGCUCUGCUACCACAGGUCUGGGUACCACAUCCCCUGGGGCAGCUAGGCCUUCCUAGGGGAUCAGGCUAGGGCUCAAAGCCCAGUCUGAUGGGGCUGAGGAGGGGAAGGAGACCUGCCUACCCAUCCCAUGCCUGACCAGGCUGCCACAGGACAGCCAUAUGGAGCUGGACAAAGUCACCACAGUGUUCCCCAAACAAACAAAAAGGUAUGUAUGUGAGAGUGUGCAUUGUGUGUGACCCUAACUAGAUCCUGGCUUAAGAAGAAAAUAAAAGUUAUAGCAAACAGUCUUUAAAAAGUUUUGGCAGUCUUUGGAUGUCCCAAGAAAUUUGAAUAAGGACAGGAUAUUUAGAUGAUGGUGGUAAUUUUUGUUAAAUUUUCUAGUUGUGUCAUGGUGCUUUAUGUAGGACAAUCUUUUUUUUUAGAAGAUGCAUGCUGAGGUGUUUUGGAGUGAAGAGUCUGAUGCUUGCAACUACUUCCAAAUGGUUCUGCUGUCAGAUAAAUAGCUAGCUAGCUAGAGGAAGCACAUAGGGCAAAAAGUCCUACCCAUGACCUACGUGCAAAAUGACUGCUUCUGGGUCACAGCCAUCUAAGCCAUGGUGCCAGUACCAACCUCAAGGCUGCGGAUCUCCCCAUGGCUGCGCGGCACAGUGAAAUCUGCUCCACCGUAUUCUGCAGCUCCUGGCUCUUGGUGCGCUUGCCUUGAAUGAUUUGAUCCCGCUUUUCCUCCUCCUCACGCUGCUGGGUCUCUUUGAGCAGGGCCAGCCGCUCUCGCAGCUCGACAACAGACAUCUCCCCUUCUAGGCCAUACCCAGGGAUCUGUGGGGUGGCAGGGAGGCCCCACACUGGGAGCUGUGCCAGGCCCAGGUGGGGAGCACAAGUGCCCCUCCCCUGCUCCACAGGCCUACCCCCUUGCCAGGAGGCUUCCUUCCUCUGCAUCAAUACUGCCUGUACGGAGUGCCCUCCUUCCAGCUUCUCCAGCCUGGACCCUGCUCUACAGUGCUAUAUGUGGAGUGUGCCCUGCAGGCCCCUCUGCUGUGGCAGGUCCCAGAUGGAGCUCACCACCAUCUUCCCAGCCAGGACCGCUGGGGCCUGGGGCCGAAUGCUCAUCUGAUUCCCCACACCCCUUGGGGUCAGGCCAGCCCCUGCAGCAGGCUCCCGAGGCCCUCCCAGUCCUGGCCCUCACUGUGCCUUUUCACAUAGGCUUCCAGGAGGCCUCCGCCUCCUGCUCCGUCCACCCCUGGGCCCUUGAACACCUGUGCUCUCCCUACUCAGCCCUUCCCACCUCGAGCCUGGGAAGUCCCUGGGCCUCCCCAACAUGCAGCUCCCAAGUGGCCUCCUGGAGCCUACCUUGCCACCCCCAGGGCCCAGGCCCCUCCCCCAGGGGUUGCAGAGGACCCGCUGAGUGUCUGCCCCACUGGUGGGACUGUGAACUCGUGGGGCCAGAUCUAGGCCUGCAACACGGGGAGUGCCGAGUCCAUGGCUGAUGAUGAGUGGCCAGGUGGAUUUUGGUGAGGCAAGACCUGCCUUUGGCCUCGGUGGGAAUUCUGGACAUGCCCUGCCAUGGAUCCUCACCUGGGUCAGGUCCACGAGCUUGCCUUUGCGUGUGGGCCGUGUCUCCAGUGCACGCAGCUGGGAGAUGAGUUCACAGCGCUGCCUCUGCUCCUCCCUGGCAGCCUCUGUGCUGCGCUGCAGCAGCUCCCGGCUCUCCUCCAUCACCUCCUGGGCUUGGGGGCCCAGUGCAUGCUGAGGGGGCCAGCGAGCAGCCCGGCAGGUGCUCGGCAGGGACACACCUCCCCGGGAGCUGCUCAGUCAGGCCUUUGACCUCAGCGCGGCCACCUGGGAGAACUUGCCCAACCCUGGCCCUCCCUCGAGGGGCACCCAGACAUCACUGACCACAGCAGCUCCCUUAGGGCAGGCCGCCAGCCCAGCACCUGAGCAGGAAGAGCAGAGCUGGGCAGGGCUUCGUGGUGCCUGGCUCCCCACCGUACCUAUCUGCCGUCGGCCCUUCACAAGCUUCGCCUGGGCCAACUUGACGUUCUUCUGCAACUCCAUUGCCUGCUCCACCUGCUCCUUCAAGGACCUGUCCUCCUGGAGGCGCCUCUUGGCACACUGCAACAUCAGCUUGGCUGUCUGCUGGGACAGUGGACCCCCCACGGUGAGAGCUUGGGCCUCCUGUCCCUCAGCCCCACCCCAGUCCAGGGAGCAGCAUGAGGUCUGAGGGCAGACCCAGGCCCCGGCCCUGAAACACCUGGAACCUGGGGCCAAGCCCAUUAGUCCCCUCGAGGUUGGGCUUGCUGGCGGAUUUGUAGCUCACAUCCUUCCUCCUUCUUCCCAAAGUGCCCCUUGGGGGGGCACAAAUCUCUGUCAUUUUAAGCCACCAGUUUGUGGCACUUUGUUAUGGCAGCCUAGGAAUCUCAUGCACGUGAUAAUGUAAGAUGUUCACAACAGAGGGCACUGGGUGGGGAGGAUAUGGGAACUCUGUACUAUCUUUGCAGCUUUUCUGUGAACUUUAAAACUGUCCUAAAAUAAAAAGUUUAUUU